rnacentral:tRNA from 1 species
AGACGUGUGCCCGAGAAUAGGGGCUAUUUUGAUAGAAUAGACACAGAGACAAACCCUCUCACUUCU